UGGGGGAUAUUGCACAAUGGGCGCAAGCCUGAUGCAGCGACGCCGCGUGGGGGAUGAAGGCCUUCGGGUUGUAAACUUCUUUUGCUCUGAACAAGGCGCACUUUGGGGUGUGUUGAGUGUAGGGGUUGAUUAGCGCCGGCUAACUACGUGCCAGCAGCCGCGGUAAUACGUAGGGCGCGAGCGUUGUCCGGAAUUAUUGGGCGUAAAGGGCUUGUAGGUGGCUGGUUGCGUCUGUCGUGAAAGCUCAUGGCUUAACUGUGGGUUUGCGGUGGGUACGGGCUGGCUUGAGUGCAGUAGGGGAGGCUGGAAUGCCUGGUGUAGCGGUGGAAUGCGCAGAUAUCAGGAGGAAUACCGGUGGCGAAGGCGGGUCUCUGGGCUGUUACUGACACUGAGGAGCGAAAGCAUGGGGAGCGAACAGG
rnacentral:rRNA from 1 species